rnacentral:rRNA from 1 species
CCUACGGGAGGCAGCAGUGGGGAAUAUUGCACAAUGGGGGAAACCCUGAUGCAGCGACGCCGCGUGAGCGAUGAAGUAUCUCGGUAUGUAAAGCUCUAUCAGCAGGGAAGAAAAUGACGGUACCUGACUAAGAAGCCCCGGCUAACUACGUGCCAGCAGCCGCGGUAAUACGUAGGGGGCAAGCGUUAUCCGGAUUUACUGGGUGUAAAGGGAGCGUAGACGGCUGUGCAAGCCAGGUGUGAAAGCCCGGGGCUCAACCCCGGAACUGCAUUUGAAACUGUGUGGCUGGAGUGCAGGAGGGGUAGGCGGAAUUCCUAGUGUAGCGGUGAAAUGCGUAGAUAUUAGGAGGAACACCAGUGGCGAAGGCGGCCUACUGGACGGUGACUGACGUUGAUGCUCGAAAGCGUGGGGAGCAAACAGGAUUAGAUACCCGUGUAGUC